GGGUGCGAUCAUACCUGUGUUAAUGCAUCGGAUCCCAUCAGAACUUUGCAGUUAAGCACACUUGGGAUAGAAUAGUACUGGGAUGGGUGACCUCCUGGGAAGUCCUAGUGUUGCAUCCU
rnacentral:rRNA from 1 species